CAAGUACCAAUGCAACUUUUCUAAGUUUGUAUGUACUUUCUAAGUAUAUCUUAGACACCAUUGACUGUGUUUCGGAUGGCACGUUAAACUGUAGGUCCCGGCUGUCAUUGAACAUCCUUGGCAGCCGUUACGGGUAUUCAGAAGCCAGUAAGUCUGACACCAGUCUAACCAAGGGGUAUCGGGUUGCCCGGGUAACUGGGUUGAGGAGGUCAGAUAGGCAGUCGCUUCUUGUAAAGCACUGAUACUCAGCUGAAUCCGAUUAGACUGGAAGCCGACGCCAACAUAGUUGAGAAAAAAGGCUCGGAGGAUGAUGGACAUGAAACCGUUUUCGAUGAAAGCGGCAGCUGCACGUGCAGUAACUUUCAGAUAUGACAUCGUCGUUCAAUACGUACCUUAUUGAGGUUCAAAUAUUUCCAAAUAAAUUAAGAUUGCAUGUAUAACAAUAUUCGCUUCACUAUAUCACGCAUAUAGCGAUAGUUUGAUAUGAUUGUUUUAAUAUUUUAAGUUUUUCUAUUUUAUCCAAUUGUAUGUUAACUUCGCCAUAUUUUAUUCUAUCUUUUUGCUGUACUUUUUUGUGAAACUUGUAAUUUUAAAUCAAUAAAUUGUUUAAAUGUA
rnacentral:lncRNA from 1 species